rnacentral:rRNA from 1 species
AUUGAACGCUGGUGGCAGGCCUAACACAUGCAAGUCGAACGGUAACAGGAAGCAGCUUGCUGCUUUGCUGACGAGUGGCGGACGGGUGAGUAAUGUCUGGGAAACUGCCCGAUGGAGGGGGAUAACUACUGGAAACGGUAGCUAAUACCGCAUAACGUCGCAAGACCAAAGAGGGGGACCUUAGGGCCUCUUGCCAUCGGAUGUGCCCAGAUGGGAUUAGCUAGUAGGUGGGGUAACGGCUCACCUAGGCGACGAUCCCUAGCUGGUCUGAGAGGAUGACCAGCCACACUGGAACUGAGACACGGUCCAGACUCCUACGGGAGGCAGCAGUGGGGAAUAUUGCACAAUGGGCGCAAGCCUGAUGCAGCCAUGCCGCGUGUAUGAAGAAGGCCUUCGGGUUGUAAAGUACUUUCAGCGGGGAGGAAGGGAGUAAAGUUAAUACCUUUGCUCAUUGACGUUACCCGCAGAAGAAGCACCGGCUAACUCCGUG